AGGGCGUUCACCUUCGAUGGCUUACCAGCGUCAAGUCUUUUGUUAGAAGUAGUAUGCCCAAAAACCUGGAAAAAAGUUUUAAAUGCAAGUUGUUGGUUGGUUUUCCCACCAAACAAUAUUAUUUAUCAUUGAAAGAAGGAAGACAAAAAAGGAAGGAAGGAAAUGACCAUUUUAUAAUAUUCAAGACACGAGGACAGAGGAAGGUUAAAUUUAUCGUGUAUUCGUUUUUUAUAAUCAUUUUUAUUUCGUCUUUCGGUUUAUCUGUG